UACGAAGGGGGCUAGCGUUACUCGGAUUGACUGGGCGUAAAGGGCGCGUAGGCGGCUUGUACAGUCAGACGUGAAAUUCCUGGGCUCAACCUGGGGGCUGCGUUUGAUACGUGCGGGCUUGAGUUCGGAAGAGGGUCGUGGAAUUCCUGGUGUAGCGGUGAAAUGCGUAGAUAUCUGGAGGAAUACCGGUGGCGAAGGCGGCGCUCUGGGCCGGUACUGGACGCUGAGGAGCGAAAGCGUGGGUAGCAAACAGG
rnacentral:rRNA from 1 species